rnacentral:piRNA from 1 species
CAGGUUGUCAGACUUGAACAUGGGCACAGGU